rnacentral:rRNA from 1 species
AACUGGGAUUAGAUACCCCACUAUGCCUAGCUGUAAAGAUUGGUAGCCCAUCACAUCCGCUACCCGCCAGGAAACUACGAGCGCUAGCUUAAAACCCAAAGGACUUGGCGGUGCUUUAGACCCCCCUAGAGGAGCCUGUCCUAGAACCGAUGAUCCCCGUUCAACCUCACCUUCUCUUGUUCUAUAUUCCGCCUAUAUACCGCCGUCGACAGCUUACCCUUUGAAGGAUACAAAGUGAGCAUAACUAGUAAUACUCCAUACGUCAGGUCGAGGUGUAGCGUAUGAGAAGGGAAGAGAUGGGCUACAUUCACUUAUUCAAGUGUAUACGAAUUAUGAUUUGAAACAUUCAUAUGAAGGAGGAUUUAGCAGUAAGCUAAAAGCAGAGCGUUUAGCUGAAACCGGCCCUAAAGUGCGUACACACCGCCSGCACC